rnacentral:rRNA from 1 species
UACAGAGGGUGCAAGCGUUGUUCGGAAUUAUUGGGCGUAAAGCGCGUGUAGGCGGCUUUGCAAGUCGGGUGUGAAAUCCCUCGGCUCAACCGAGGAAGUGCGCCCGAAACUGCAGAGCUUGAGUACUGGAGAGGAUGGUGGAAUUCCCCAAGUAGAGGUGAAAUUCGUAGAUAUUCGGAAGAACACCAGUGGCGAAGGCGACUUACUGGACACAUAUUGACGCUGAGGUGCGAAAGCGUGGGGAGCAAACAGG